rnacentral:lncRNA from 1 species
AGCAGGAGAUUUCUGAAGGGGAAAUUGAUGUUCCCUUGGAGUAAACAAAGAAAAAAGUGAGGGUUUUUUUGGGAGGUUUUUGGUUUAAUAAUUGUUUUGAUGUUUUCUUUUUUUAAGAUUAUGUUUUUAUAAGUUUUGGAUAAUUGUUAAAAAGAUGAUGAUCAAGUAUCUUAAGGGGUUUAAUGAUUAUGAAAUUUGUGGAGGAUGGUGGGGCUUAUAUCUUGAAUCAGG